rnacentral:tRNA from 1 species
UCGGCAAUAGUUUAGUGGCUAGAAUUUCCGCCUGUCAGAUAUUAUCAGCUUCGCGGGGGACCGGGGUUCAAUUCCCCGUUGCCGAG